CAGCUUCCGGGAAACCAAAGCCUUUUGGGUUCCGGGGGGAGUAUGGUUGCAAAGCUGAAACUUAAAGCAAUUGACGGAAGGGCACCACCAGGAGUGGAGCCUGCGGCUUAAUUUGACUCAACACGGGAAAUCUCACCAGGCCCGGACACUGGAAGGAUUGACAGAUUGAGAGCUCUUUCUCGAUUCGGUGGGUGGUGGUGCAUGGCCGUUCUUAGUUGGUGGAGUGAUUUGUCUGGUUAAUUCCGAUAACGAACGAGACUCCGUCCUGCUAACUAGUCAGCCCGGUUUCAUACCCGGGCUGAGUUCUUCUUAGAGGGACUGGCGGCGUCUAGCCGCACGAGAUGGAGCAAUAACAGGUCUGUGAUGCCCUUAGAUGUUCUGGGCCGCACGCGCGCUACACUGAAGGGACCAGCGUGUCCUCCCUUCCGGAGACGGACGGGUAACCCGCUGAGCCCCCUUCGUGGUAGGGAUCGGGGCUUGCAAUUGUUCCCCGUGAACCAGGAAUUCCCAGUAAGCGCGAGUCAUAAGCUCGCGUUGAUUACGUCCCUGCCCUUUGUACACACCGCCCGUCGCUACUACCGAUUGAACGUUUUAGUGAGGUAUUUGGAUCGGACCGUUCCGGGUUCGCGCCCGGGGUUUGUGUCUGAGAAGACUCCCAAACUUGAGC
rnacentral:rRNA from 1 species